rnacentral:rRNA from 1 species
AAACUUUCAACAACGGAUCUCUUGGUUCUCGCAACGAUGAAGAACGCAGCGAAAUGCGAUACGUAAUGUGAAUUGCAGGUUUUCGUGAAUCAUCGAAUCUUUGAACGCACAUUGCGCCCUCUGGUAUUCCGGAGGGCAUGCCUGUUUGAGCGUCAUU